CGAGGUGUAGGAAAGCGGCCGAAUCCGCCUGCUUCGGGAGCAGGAGACCGCUGGUUCGAAUCCAGCCACCUCGAC
rnacentral:tRNA from 1 species